rnacentral:rRNA from 16 species
CGUGGAGUAUGCGGCUUAAUUUGACUCAACACGGGGAAUGUUACCAGGUCAGGACGCAGUCGGGAUUGACAGAUUGAGGGUUCUUUCUUGAUCCUCUGGACGGUGGUGCAUGGCCGCUCCUGAUUGGUGGAGUGAUUUGUCUGGUUGAUUCCGAUAACGAGUGAGACCUCUGCCUCUGAAUAGUCCCCGGUCUCGCAUUCAUGUAGGACGGAACACCUGACCCGUGGGUCGGCUUGCCGGUCCCACCGGGGCUCGUGGAUUACCCGUCUGAGAGUGCCGGGUAUGCUGCUUCUCUCGGGUGCCGUGCAUGUUUACCAAGUGCACGCAAGCCAGAGCCAACAGCAGGUCUGUGAUGCUCCUAGAUGUUCUGGGCCGCACGCGCACUACACUGGUCCAGUGAACAAGCCUUGGUGUCCCAUCCAUGGGACCGUCCUGCCCAGAAGUGGGCGGGCAACCUUUGCAGCUGUGAAUGCGUGUUUGGGAUUGAUGCUUGCAACUAUCUGUCAUGAACAAGGAAUGCCUGGUAUGUGCACGUCAUCAGCUUGCACAGAUUAUGUCCCUGCCAUUUAUACACACCGCCCAUCGUUGCUACUGAUGGCAGAAUGAUAAAGCCCUCAGGAACUCAAGCUGAUUGGCACUCGUGCACAUCAAUGUCUUGUCAUGGAAUUUGGGCGAUGUUCUGUUGCUAGAGGAAGCAAAAGUUGUAACAAGGUUGCUGUAGGUGAACCUGCAGCAGGAUCAUU